CCCCUAAUCACCCGGUCUCAAUAUACGAUACAUGAAUGUUUUAUACCUGUGUAAUAUAUGCAUAUAAAUAGUUUUAAAAAAAAAAUCUUUGAAAACGAAAAAGAGGAAUAGGGGAUUGCGGUUGAUCAAAAUUUAAUUUACCAACUCAAUUUUUCUGUAUUUAAUGAGGUGUCAGGACACCAAUAAUUUAAAAAUAGUGUUAAGAUAAUGAUUAUAGACAAUUCCAUACGGAUUCGGGAACAAAAAAACCAGAAAUCAUAAACUGCACGUAUAAUCUAAAUCUAUGAUACUUGU